UCCCACCGUUCCACGGGCCACGGUUUGUAGUCCGUAGGACUUAUGACUUUGUUUGUAGUUCGUCGAAGUAAUCUUUUGAUUUUUUAAAAUUUGUUGUUGGAGAACCGAACCGAGGUCUAGUAAAUACUUGAAUAGUUGGCAUUAAUUAGCAGAGCUUCAAUUGUAACUCUCUGCUUUUGCUGCAAUAAUUUUCCAAGGAGAGUGAUAAAAUAUGCAAAUGAUAUGUGGGAGCCCAAGGUUACUGGCAGGGUUCUGUUCCUGGGGGCUUGACAGUAACCGAAAAUCGCCGCUAACAGUAAUGAAAAAGUCUGGUUAACGAUGCCUUAGACAGUGUCACGGCCAGAUAUUUUGCCCUAAUAUAUAAUAACUCUAAUGAAAA